AUCUCACCUCUCAAUUUUUUAAGGCGAACCUUCUUGACUCGAUCUACUCCUUUAUAUGUAUUCUCCAAAAAAUUUCAUGCUUGAUGUGCAGUAGUUACUCCAUAAAUUUUCUCUAAAUUGGAAUCAUCAAUGGCUUGAUGAAUGAUGGGCUUCCGAACUUGCAAGAAAGAAGAAGCCUCUAUGGAGGGUAAUCAAGAUAUGGGGGUAGGGAUUUAGUAAAAGAAAGAGUGGUAGCCAUUGAAAAGCUAUUUUGUGCAACCCGCUUAGACAUAUGUUUUAGAAAUCAUGUUGAGAUGUACUUAGGAACUUGAUACUUUGUUGCAUUGACUAUUCUGCAAUUAUGAUAGUCAUUGAAAAGCUAUUUCUUUUAUCUGCUUAGACAUAUG